UGGCCUUUUUAUUAGUUGUUAGUAAAAUUAUACAUGCAAGAAUCAUCAAACCUGUGAGAAUGCCCUCCAAAUCAUAUCAUGAUUCAGAGGAGCCGGUAUCAAGCACACUAUUGUAGCUCAUAACACCUUGCUUAGCCACACCCCCACGGGAUACAGCAGUGAUUAAAAUUAAGCAAUAAACGAAAGUUUGACUAAGUUAUACAACAGUUUAGGGUUGGUAAAUCUCGUGCCAGCCACCGCGGUCAUACGAUUAACCCUAAUUAAUAAACCUUUUCGGCGUAAAGAGUGUUAAAAACAAAACUAAAAUAAGAUUAAAAUUUACCUAAGUCGUAGAAAAUUACAGGUAAAAAAUAAACCCAAAUACGAAAGUUAUCUUAAUAAACCUGAAUACACUAAAGCUAAGAUCCAAACUGGGAUUAGAUACCCCACUAUGCUUAGCCAUAAACAUAAACAUUUAACAACAAAAAUGUUCGCCAGAGAACUACUAGCAAUAGCUUAAAACUCAAAGGACUUGGCGGUGCUUUAAACCCACCUAGAGGAGCCUGUUCUAUAAUCGAUAAACCCCGAUAAACCUCACCACUUCUCGCUAAUUCAGCCUAUAUACCGCCAUCUUCAGCAAACCCUAAUAAGGAGAAAAAGUAAGCACAAAUAUUUACAUAAAAACGUUAGGUCAAGGUGUAGCCAAUGAAGUGGCAAGAAAUGGGCUACAUUUUCUUUCACCUAAGAAAACAACAGUAAUUCUUAUGAAACUUAAGAAUUUAAGGAGGAUUUAGCAGUAAAUUAAGAAUAGAGAGCUUAAUUGAACUAGGCCAUGAAGCACGCACACACCGCCCGUCACCCUCCUCAAAUAUCUACUCAAAUUUAUACCUGAAUUAUAACCAAUAUAAGAGGAGACAAGUCGUAACAAGGUAAGCAUACUGGAAAGUGUGCUUGGAUAAA
rnacentral:ncRNA from 1 species